UACGGGGGGGGCAAGCGUUGUUCGGAAUUACUGGGCGUAAAGGGCUCGUAGGCGGCAAACUAAGUCAGACGUGAAAUCCCUCGGCUUAACCGGGGAACUGCGUCUGAUACUGGAUGGCUUGAGGUUGGGAGAGGGAUGCGGAAUUCCAGGUGUAGCGGUGAAAUGCGUAGAUAUCUGGAGGAACACCGGUGGCGAAGGCGGCAUCCUGGACCAAUUCUGACGCUGAGGAGCGAAAGCCAGGGGAGCAAACGGG
rnacentral:rRNA from 1 species